UUAACACAUGCAAGUCGAGGGGUAUUAGUUUUCGGACUAAGAGACCGGCGCACGGGUGCGUAACGCGUAUGCAAUCUACCUUUUACAGAGGGAUAGCCCAGAGAAAUUUGGAUUAAUACCUCAUAGUAUAGCAGUUUCGCAUGAAACCACUAUUAAAGUCACAACGGUAAAAGAUGAGCAUGCGUCCCAUUAGCUAGUUGGUAAGGUAACGGCUUACCAAGGCUACGAUGGGUAGGGGUCCUGAGAGGGAGAUCCCCCACACUGGUACUGAGACACGGACCAGACUCCUACGGGAGGCAGCAGUGAGGAAUAUUGGACAAUGGGCGCAAGCCUGAUCCAGCCAUGCCGCGUGCAGGAUGACGGUCCUAUGGAUUGUAAACUGCUUUUGUACGAGAAGAAACACUCCUAUGUAUAGGAGCUUGACGGUAUCGUAAGAAUAAGGAUCGGCUAACUCCGUGCCAGCAGCCGCGGUAAUACGGAGGAUCCAAGCGUUAUCCGGAAUCAUUGGGUUUAAAGGGUCCGUAGGCGGUUUAGUAAGUCAGUGGUGAAAGCCCAUCGCUCAACGGUGGAACGGCCAUUGAUACUGCUGAACUUGAAUUAUUAGGAAGUAACUAGAAUAUGUAGUGUAGCGGUGAAAUGCUUAGCGAUUACAUGGAAUACCAAUUGCGAAGGCAGGUUACUACUAAUUGAUUGACGCUGAUGGACGAAAG
rnacentral:rRNA from 1 species